AUUUUUCUACAAAGAAGAGACAACCAGUGGCUCGUGGCUACUUCCUGCGCCCGCCCAGACGAGAAGGGGCAACAGGAGCCCGGGGGGGGGGCAGCUGCAGGAUGACCUUGGCCGAGUCCCUUCCCUCAUCGGCCCCCAACUCCUUGUCCAGUCGGUCAGGCAUCAGCCCGCCGUCCCUGGUCUGGAGCCCACUGAGGCCCUCCUCUGCCCCCAGAGACAGCGCAGGCUCCCCUCGGACCCGGGACCUUCUCUUUACAGAAGGGAGGACGCCCCGGGCAGAAGGAGCCAUCGACGCCUCCUGGGACCCGUCACUCGCUCUGUGGCCGAGGCAGCGGGCACGGCACGGGCCUCACCCAUUGAGGAAGAUGACUCUGCAGUUGUAGCGGACGUUGCGGUGCAUCACGGGCCUGACGAAGAGACGGACACACGGGGGUUGGGGGGUUGCUAGGGAAGGGAAAGACCCCCCAGCCCUGAAUGCAGCAUCCAGAAAAGGGGGAGGCCCCGUGCAGGGGGCCCCCAGCGCCUCAUCGGUGUGAGAAGGCUGAACCAGGCACCCAGACCCCCUCCCCCAGGGCAGGGCACCGAACGCCAUUCUCCAACCUCCCAGUGGCUCGGGGGCUCCUUCCUCCUCCCGGUCCCUGCAUGGAGGUCCCGCCAGGGUGGCCUCUGAGGCCCAUGGGACACCCUCAAGCCUUUGCCAGCCAAGAUGGUGCCAGGGGACCCCUCGCAGGAGCGGCGCCCCCAUCCUCCGGCCAAGCCUGGCAAAGAUGGAGAGGUGCCCAGGAGGCAGUGCCAGGCUCUGCCAAGGCACGAGAGGAGUCACAACCAAGCAGCUCCUAGCAAGCCAAGGUCCGCCUCGGCUUCUCCCGUAACACCAACAAUGUUCGCAUACACUCGUGUUUGCACCAUGAUGCGGAAAGGCCCCAAAAGAAGCUAUUACCCCCAGAGGAGCGCCCGCCCGGGGCGAGACGGGACCUUCUUAGCCAUUGUUGCUGUCACAAAUCCCUUGGAGAGUCUGGUGAAGCUCCCGGCUGUGACUCCAGAGAAGCCAAAGCACUCCCGGCGCACGGACAGCCCGGAGGAUCCAAACUGCCGGAGAUCCUCAGAGAAGCCCUGGGCUGGCCCAGGGCCCUCCCACCGCCAGCGGGACACUCACAUGCCCACGUCGCAGAUGAUGUUCUGGGUGACAGGAGACAUCAGAAGCUGGGCCAGAACUUGGUAGGAGUGCAGAAUGGUGUCUGACUCAAAGAAGUGAUCCCAACAGCCAUAGCCACUGCACAGAGAACCGGGGUCAGGGGCAGGGGGAGGGGAGCCAGGCACCCCUGGGUGUCUCGGGCUCUCGGGGGACCCAUCCUCCCUGCUCCUCCAAGGAUCAGGCACAGAUGGGAGCAGGUCUCUAACUGUGCUGGACAGGACACGGGGGGAGACCCAGGGACACCCCGAGGGAAGGGGCACCAACAUGCAUUCCAACAGAGCGCGCUGGAAGGCUUGACCAGAUCCCCAGGACAACCCCUGGGACAGGCACUGUCCUUGGUCCCAUUUUACAGUCCUGUGAGCUCCCGAAGGGCAGAGCCUGCCGCUGUGUGCCCCGGACAGGCCUAUGGGGGAGCCCUCACCAGAUCUCCAGCUCUGGCCCCAGCCGGUACUUGGCUCCUUUGUUUCUGGCGAUCUCGAUGCCUAAAACGGAGGGGCAAAAAGAGACAAGAAGAGAGAAGCCCUUCCCGGGGUGAAGGGAGGACUCAGGCAGCCCCCAGCCCGGAGACCCUGCAGAGUCCGGCUUGUGCGGACCCGGCCUUCACCCCGCACCCCACCACGGGGAGGGGACCCCCAGGAGACUUCAUAUGCCAGUGGAGAAACAGCAGGCGGGGAUAGACAGACGGGCAGAGACACGCAGAAACGUGUGCCCUGGGCGCCAAUGCACAACUGGCUAAGAAGUGCUUCACCCCGUGCCUGGCACAUAGUAGGGGCUGUAAAAAUGUUAGCUACUAUUUGUAAUUAUCAUUAAUAAUAAAGUGAUUGGCACAGUGCCUGGCACA